GAUGAACGCUGGCGGCGUGCUUAACACAUGCAAGUCGAACGAUGAAGCCCAGCUUGCUGGGUGGAUUAGUGGCGAACGGGUGAGUAACACGUGAGUAACCUGCCCUUGACUCUGGGAUAAGCCUGGGAAACUGGGUCUAAUACUGGAUAUGACUUCUCAUCGCAUGGUGGGGGGUGGAAAGAUUUAUUGGUCUUGGAUGGACUCGCGGCCUAUCAGCUUGUUGGUGAGGUAAUGGCUCACCAAGGCGACGACGGGUAGCCGGCCUGAGAGGGUGACCGGCCACACUGGGACUGAGACACGGCCCAGACUCCUACGGGAGGCAGUAGUGGGGAAUAUUGCACAAUGGGCGCAAGCCUGGUGCAGCGACGCCGCGUGAGGGAUGACGGCCUUCGGGUUGUAAACCUCUUUCAGUAGGGAAGAAGCGAGAGUGACGGUACCUGCAGAAGAAGCGCCGGCUAACUACGUG
rnacentral:rRNA from 1 species